rnacentral:rRNA from 1 species
AAUCGGAAUUACUGGGCGUAAAGCGUGCGCAGGGCGGUUAUGCAAGACAGAGGUGAAAUCCCCGGGCUCAACCUGGGAACUGCCUUUGUGACUGCAUGGCUAGAGUACGGUAGAGGGGGAUGGAAUUCCGCGUGUAGCAGUGAAAUGCGUAGAUAUGCGGAGGAACACCGAUGGCGAAGGCAAUCCCCUGGACCUGUACUGACGCUCAUGCACGAAAGCGUGGGGAGCAAACAGGAUUAGAUACCCUGGUAGUCAAGGGCG